UGCUGCUUUGCUGACGAGUGGCGGACGGGUGAGUAAUGUCUGGGAAACUGCCUGAUGGAGGGGGAUAACUACUGGAAACGGUGGCUAAUACCGCAUAACGUCGCAAGACCAAAGAGGGGGACCUUCGGGCCUCUUGCCAUCAGAUGUGCCCAGAUGGGAUUAGCUUGUUGGUGAGGUAACGGCUCACCAAGGCGACGAUCCCUAGCUGGUCUGAGAGGAUGACCAGCCACACUGGAACUGAGACACGGUCCAGACUCCUACGGGAGGCAGCAGUGGGGAAUAUUGCACAAUGGGCGCAAGCCUGAUGCAGCCAUGCCGCGUGUAUGAAGAAGGCCUUCGGGUUGUAAAGUACUUUCAGCGGGGAGG
rnacentral:rRNA from 1 species